rnacentral:rRNA from 1 species
GACGAACGCUGGCGGCGUGCUUAACACAUGCAAGUCGAACGAAGUGGCGAACGGGUGAGUAACGCGUAAUCAACCUGCACUUCAGAGGGGGACAACAGUUGGAACCGACUACUAAUACCGCCUACUGAAGGCGGGGAUUGCGGCGGAUUAGCUCGUUGGAGUGGUAACGGCCCACCAAGGCGAUGAUCAGUAGCCGGUCUGAGAGGAUGAACGGCCACAUUGGGACUGAGACACGGCCCAGACGCCUACGGGAGGCAGCAGUGGGGAAUCUUCGGAAAUGGACGGAAGUCUGACCGAGCAACGCCGCGUGAGUGAAGAAGGUUUUCGGAUCGUAAAGCUCUGUUGUAAGAGAAGCGGUAUCUUACCAGAAAGGGACGGCUAACUACGUGCCAGCAGCCGCGGUAAUAC